rnacentral:rRNA from 1 species
AUUGAACGCUGGCGGCAUGCUUUACACAUGCAAGUCGAACGGUAACAGGCCUUCGGGUGCUGACGAGUGGCGAACGGGUGAGUAAUGCAUCGGAACGUACCCAGAGGUGGGGGAUAACGCAGCGAAAGCUGUGCUAAUACCGCAUGUGAUCUGAGGAUGAAAGCGGGGGACCGAGCAGCAAUGUUUGGCCUCGCGCCUUUGGAGCGGCCGAUGUCGGAUUAGCUAGUUGGUGGGGUAAAGGCCUACCAAGGCGACGAUCCGUAGCUGGUCUGAGAGGACGAACAGCCACACUGAGACUGAGACACGGCCCAAACUCCUACGGGAGGCAGCAGUGGGAAUUUUGGACAAUGGGCGCAAGCCUGAUCCAGCAAUGCCGCGUGCGGGAAGAAGGCCUUCGGGUUGUAAAACGCUUUUGGCAGGAACGAAACGGUGUCCGCUAAUACCGGGCGCUAAUGACGGUACCUGCAGAAUAAGCACCGGCUAACUACGUG